GAUGAACGCUAGCUACAGGCUUAACACAUGCAAGUCGAGGGGAAACGACAUCGAAAGCUUGCUUUUGAUGGGCGUCGACCGGCGCACGGGUGAGUAACGCGUAUCCAACCUGCCCACCACUUGGGGAUAACCUUGCGAAAGUAAGACUAAUACCCAAUGACGUCUCUAGAAGACAUCUGAAGGAGAUUAAAGAUUUAUCGGUGAUGGAUGGGGAUGCGUCUGAUUAGCUUAUUGGCGGGGUAACGGCCCACCAAGGCGACGAUCAGUAGGGGUUCUGAGAGGAAGGUCCCACACAUUGGAACUGAGACACGGUCCAAACUCCGACGGGAGGCAGCAGUGAGGAAUAUUGGUCAAUGGGCGAGAGCCUGAACCAGCCAAGUAGCGUGCAGGAUGACGGCCCUAUGGGUUGUAAACUGCUUUUAUAAGGGAAUAAAGUGAGACUCGUGAGACUUUUUGCAUGUACCUUAUGAAUAAGGACCGGCUAAUUCCGUGCCAGCAGCCGCGGUAA
rnacentral:rRNA from 1 species